UCAAGCUUGCCGUCAACAUGUACCACACAGCGAUUAGGAAAUAUGUGUUCAAAUAGAAUCAAAAGCCGAGUAAGAGUGCGUUUUUGUCGGGAGUUCCCAAAUAGGAAAUACCCUGAGCCCAGCAAAAUUACGAAUGUUCUUAUGUGCAUACAUAGGCAGAAGCAUAUAUACGCACCCACACAUACACAUCAUAUGACGGUCUAUUCAUUCUUGAAUAAGUUCGGUGUUUAUAGUCCGAUCGUUAAAUGUUGGAAAAAUUAGAAAGAUAUUUAUAACGCAUUUAGGGAGAAUAAUCCAGCAUGGCCUGGCUGAGUUUGGUGAAGAGAGAAAAUAAGUUUUCUUUUACAGCUAAGUAUAUGAUACAAAAGUCCGUUGCUCAUAGGAUUUUGCUUAUAUGUGGAACAUAUUGAAGAAACAAUUGCCAAGUCGAGCUAUUACAAAAAAUGGGACAAACUCAUUUACUUAUGGGUUUCAUAUGUCACACAUUUCGCGUAUUUCGCAAAGGAUUGGAAAAAAAUGUUGCGUGCAUUUGUGCGAAAGAUGUUGAAAUUUUUUUGACAAUAAAUAUAAUCUUUUCUGGGAGCAGUAACUGAGUGUUAACUGUACUUAUAAAUGCAA